rnacentral:rRNA from 1 species
CCUACGGGAGGCAGCAGUGAGGCAUAUUGGUCAAUGGACGAGAGUCUGAACCAGCCAAGUAGCGUGAAGGAUGACUGCCCUAUGGGUUGUAAACUUCUUUUAUAAAGGAAUAAAACGAGGCACGUGUGCCUUUUUGCAUGUACUUUAUGAAUAAGGAUCGGCUAACUCCGUGCCAGCAGCCGCGGUAAUACGGAGGAUCCGAGCGUUAUCCGGAUUUAUUGGGUUUAAAGGGAGCGUAGAUGGGUUGUUAAGUCAGUUGUGAAAGUUUGCGGCUCAACCGUAAAAUUGCAAUUGAUACUGGCAGUCGUGAGUACAGUUGAGGUAGGCGGAAUUCGUGGUGUAGCGGUGAAAUGCUUAGAUAUCACGAAGAACCCCGAGUGCGAAGGCAGCUUACUAAACUGUGACUGACAUUGAUGCUCGAAAGUGUGGGUAUCAAACAGGAUUAGAUACCCCUGUAGUC